rnacentral:rRNA from 1 species
GCGGGUGCUUACACAUGCAAGUCGAACGAUGAAGCCCUUUCGGGGGUGGAUUAGUGGCGAACGGGUGAGUAACACGUGAGCAACCUGCCCUUGACUCUGGGAUAAGCCUGGGAAACUGGGUCUAAUACCGGAUAGGACUCCUCAUCGCAUGGUGGGGGGUGGAAAGCCUUGUGCGGUCUUGGAUGGGCUCGCGGCCUAUCAGCUUGUUGGUGGGGUGAUGGCCUACCAAGGCGACGACGGGUAGCCGGCCUGAGAGGGUGACCGGCCACACUGGGACUGAGACACGGCCCAGACUCCUACGGGAGGCAGCAGUGGGGAAUAUUGCACAAUGGGCGGAAGCCUGAUGCAGCGACGCCGCGUGGGGGAUGACGGCCUUCGGGUUGUAAACCCCUUUCAGCAGGGAAGAAGCGGAAGUGACGGUACCUGCAGAAGAAGCGCCGGCUAACUACGUGCCAGCAGCCGCGGUAAUACGUAGGGCGCGAGCGUUAUCCGGAAUUAUUGGGCGUAAAGAGCUCGUAGGCGGCUUGUCGCGUCUGCUGUGAAAGCCCGGGGCUCAACCCCGGGUCUGCAGUGGGUACGGGCAGGCUGGAUUGCANUANGGGAGACUGGAAUUCCUGGUGUAGCGGUGAAAUGCGCAGAUAUCAGGAGGAACACCCAUGGCAACCGCAGGUCUCUGGGCUGUAACUGACGCUGAAGAGCGAAAGCAUGGGGGAGCGAACAGGAUUAGAUACCCUGGUAGUCCCUGC